UGGUCAGACGGUAGCACUCAAGUCCGGAUUCAAUCGACAUGCUUGUUUUGUUCCUGUGACCUCACAAAACAUUUGUAUGAUGUUUUUAUUCCUUCAAAUGAAAUAAUCCAGUCAAGCUACCUUGCAAGCACAGGCAACAAACUUGAACCCUGCGAGUCCUUCCUGCCCUUUGCAUACAGAAGCCCCUCCCGAGACGAGUGAGAAUAAAACGGCCAAUCUGAAGCGCUGUCCAGUCCGCCGCCGCCGCCGCUGCUGCCGCAUCAUCAGCCCCGAGGAGAGGGAGUGGACCCUUUCGUGCUGUGUUCGCAGAGCCGUGUCACAUGCGAUUUCGUCAUGUGCAGAUGAAGGUCCUCCAGGCCCAGAUGAACAAGCGCCGACAUUCCCGGGAUGUCCAUGAAGGCAACAUUUGCCUGUCCCGAUGGAGGUCCGACAUGCAAUAAUCCGCUCCGGUCGGCCGGGAUGGGGUCCCGGGCCCGGGCGGGGUCCCCGCAGGACCUGGGCGGCUUUCAUCUCAAUGAUUUGAUUUCCGCCACCCGAUGUGUUGAGUGAAUGAACUGCAAUGCCCUCUACUGGUUGCUGGUUCAUUUCCUACCUGAAGGUACACUCCAAGCGUUCUCGGGUCUCUUGAAAGGAGGAAACGCGCUCAUGCGAUUGAGAGAGCAACACUUGCGAGGUGAGUGUGUGUGUGUGUGUGUGUGUGUGUGUGUUAGGUUAUCAAUGAGUUUAUUUACGUUUUUCAAACCUUCAGAAUGCCUAAAUUCCUCAAAUAGAAGCUGAAAGGGAAAUACUAAGGACACAAAAUCAACACUUGGGAGACUAACAGCUUAUGUGAAGCUGCAAGAUGAACAUAAGACGAUGCAAACAAACAAAACAUUAGCCAUGUUUGUCAACACACUGUCUUGCUCUCUCUGCUUCUAUCUCUCUGUCUCGCUCUCUCUCUCGCUCCCCCACGUUGCGUGUUACAUCAUCACGCAAUGGCUGUCCUCUCGUGGCCCAGUGAACUAGCUGCGAGCGAUGCACCGAUUUAGCUGCCUGCUAUACACUACUACACGCACAAGCAGCGGAUGGCAGUCACGGAAGCAGCAGACGGUAAAGUGUAAUUAUGUUCAAGCAAAAGUGUUAUUACUAUACUUUUACCCCCAGUGGAUUUGAUUUGAAACAACGGUGUUUGAAAAGCAUCAACACAAAAAGUGCAGAUGUUACUAAAAUGAGUACACAAGUAUCGCGUGAGGGUGGGUGCACCUUGUUGUCAUGAGCGUGACAAGGGUCACGCGCCCCCCCCCCCCGCCGCUCUUGUGCGCAUGCCCCGAAAAGUCUGACAUUAAUGUACAAAGUGUGAAUCGUUUGAAUUUAGCACAAUGGCUAAGAAUUAUUU